CAAAUGUCUGAGAUUCUGUUUGUUUGAAAUUCCCUGAAUCUUAGUCGGGCAAAAGAUAAUAAUGAGCUCCAAGAUUGAGUUUUGCUUGGCUCAUGCUCCGGCUUCUAAUGCUUGUAGAUUUUAUGAUAAUUAGCCUAGAAGAAGAAGUCCUGGAAUAUAUAUAUAUAUUCCUAGUCAGUUUGUAUUUCCGUCAACCUGUUUCUAUGCAAACUGCAUAGUCUCUCAGUUUCAACUAUUAUCAUAAAGCUUCGCUGGCGUUCGUCUUCUUAUUGCAGGUAUAACAUAUAUCUGAAACUGACGGAUCUGUUCAUUAUAUCAUGUAGGAUAUACCUCUGGACGAUUUAUCGUUUUUCUGGAUAUAUUUAACAGAAUCUGCAUUUACUAGCAUUGUUAGCCUCCGUAUAUAUGCACAACCCUUUAAAGUAAUACAAUUUGUAGCUCCCAUAGGAACAAUAAUUCGGGAAAAACCUUGCGUACAAAAUCUGAGAUGUUUACAAGAGUAUUUUUAUGUUUAUGUUUAUUUAUAUGCUCACCCAAGCAAACCUUGAAAUAUUACUUAGAUUAAUCAUUCCUGGAAAAUUGAUUUCGAAAAGCUUAUCGUUAAUUUUUGUUGUCUGUGACGUGUCUCGAAAAUUCACAUUUCCGGCCGUGAGGGAAAACUUUUAGCGAGUGAAAGAUCAGGGCUGCCAGCUCUACCAGCCAGACGGAGACAGAGUUAGCUAUAGAUUAUAAAAAUAUAUAUUUAAAUAUAAUUAAAGUAUAUAUAUAUAUAUAUAUAUUUAGCUCGUAUACCGAUGCCGAUAAUGAUCAUCAUUAGCGUCAUCGGCGGCGAUCUUAAUCGAUAGAAACAGCGCCUUUCGACUGUCCCAAAAUGCGUUUAUUCAAAAUUGUGCUGACAGUUCGGCGGGUUCACAGUCCCCCAGUCUGCCCACAAAUCAUCAAAGUGGCCUUCGACAGUGUCAUAUACUAUAUAUAUACUAGAUCUAUAUUAUAUAUACUAUAUAUAUAUAAUUUACUAUAAAGCCAGUGCCAAAUGGGCAGCUAGCACACAAUUUAAUUGCGUCAUGUGGCAACAUUUUGAUAUAUUUUGUUUUUAAACAAAUUCUUUUUAUAACAUUUGAUCGGAAGAGAAAAAAAGCGCCCCCCAAAAUUAGCUGAAAAUAUCAUUAAUUUUGCAUCUAAAAUAAAAGAAAGGUAGAACAAAUAACUUGAUAGCACAACGAACUGCGUAUACCCUUCAGCUGUUGACAGAUUUCAUAUCUUGUAUCUCGUAUUUACAUUGUAUUCAUGUAUCUUGUAUCUUGUAUCUUGUACUAAAGUUCAUUAGCUAGUCGCAAAGCCCACGUCAAGGCAAUUGGAAAUUUUGUGAAAAUUGUGAAAAUGCGUGGGUACAUUUUUCCGUACAGAUCUUUUGGACUUUAUUAAUUUUCACACUUGGCUGUUGUCUGGACGUUGGCUUUUUUUGGAACUUUUACUGCAUCUGUUCUGGACUGGUUUUUUAUACAUUUUUGUUUUGCCGCCAAUUUGUUUGCGUUCUUCGUCUUUGUUUGCAGUGAGAGCGAAAAAAAAAACAUAAAUAUUUAUUUUUUAGUUUUGUGUUUUUCUUGUGAUAUGUUUUUUUUUUUUUUUUUGUGUUUUUCUGCGUUCAGAUGUUUCCUGCAGAUUGUUGGGAGACGACACGCGCGCCCAAUUGGCUGUCAAUGAUGGUUUGUCUGGCAGCUAUUAACGAGCUAUUAUACUUAGUUACGGAAUUAGACAGAGUUAAGAUGUGGAAAUUUUGAGCUAAAUUUAGAUAUAAACAUAUUUUGUGUGUUCCAGUUGAGCAAACUGGCAUUAUCUGAACGGAGUUCGUAAAACAGUUGAAGUUUCUUGGCUGGCUUCACAUUUUAUGCCCUUGCAAAGGGUAUUAUAAUUUUGUAGUGAAAUGUGUAACGCAUAGAAGAACACAACUCCGACCUCAUAACGUAUAUAUAUUGUUGAUCAAUAGCAACAGACAAGUCGAUAUGGCCAUAGCUCAAGAUACCUUAACUUUUUCCUGUGCUUGUUAGGGUAUUAAGACGUUGGCGUGCCGCAGAUAGCCCCUCUUGUUGUUCCUUAAUUAAAAUUAAAUUAACAGUUGCUUGUUUUAUGUCAUAUAAUUUGCUGAAGACACAAAUAUUUCUUGCACUCAUCUAUUUUACUUUACGUGCAGACUCGAUAAUAUAGAUUUAUAGCUAUAAAAGCUAUAAAACUAGCUAGGGUAUUAGCUUUAGUUUGAUUAUUAGCUUCUCCUCAUAUAGUUGCCUCAAGAGACUUUGUUUUACUAGAUAGACCUACAUCAAGUCUGUACCUUAAUAUAAAAAAAAUUAAAGAUUUCAAUGUUUGUGCUGUUUUAUGUCUCAGAUUCGAAUAUUAUUUAGCUGCUGGCCAAGCAAAUGGUUAAUGCUAAGAAAAAAAAGACUCACAUUUUUCAUUAUUGGGAUAAUCUUUGAGUUUAGUCCUCGAUUGAUCGUCUUGACCUUGUUAAGAAACUACAAUUCAUGUGUUCGCAGGCCGACAAUGCAAUUUGGCGACUAUUUUAAUUCAUUUGCAUGCGCAUAUAUACAUAUUUGUCUAUCUGUGACAAAUCUACAUUUGGCAUUAAAUAAUGCCGCAAAUUUGUUAGCUGGACGCAAUUUAUGCGAUUUUGUGGCCAAUCGCGAACUGCUGACACAAUCAUUGAAAAUCGCUGCAAAUUGAAAUCCGACUGCAAAUGCGUUGUCAACAAUUCAGCCUUUUAAUGGCCGAAAAUUCAAUGAGACCUGCGGUUGGGGCAGCGGCAGCUAACCAAUUCGGCGUACACUCUAUCUAUGACUAAAAUCUAUGCCGCAGCCGCAGCCGUUGGCAACGCGUAUGUGCAACAGGACAUUUUUUGACACUCGCGUGGCAUAAAUCAAAUGCGUUGCAGGCCGCCGGCGCUCCACGUUGCACUCGACUCCUCUACUUGCGGCUAGCAGCUCCACUCUGAGUCCCACUUCUCCAAGUGCUCUCGACGGGGCCAUCUAAUAAAUAAUGCCAGCAAAUUGUGCAAAGUUGUGCCGGCUCCAGCCGUGUCUGUCGCAGGGGGUCGCAUGAGAACUUGCUACAGCGCAUUAUGCAAGCCACUCGAGAGAUGGCCAAAAGUAAAGCUUAUGUAAAUGUAGGGCACAGCUAACCUAUUAUAAUUGUAUAAUUGAGCUGCAAUUAAUUAAAGUUCACAAAAGUCACUUGGUUAUUAAAACUAAAGUCUUGAUCAACUUUUACGCAAUGCAUAAACUAUCCAAACUUUUUACUGGACUCUAAUUUAUAAAGAGAUAUUCGAGCAAAGUUUGCUCAUCAAAAAUCGAAACAUAUUCUAUUCGAUAUGAACCAUAUAUCCAUUUACUACAAAAAUACAAAAUCCAAAUCUCAAACUAAGACAUUUAGUCAUAAAAUCGAAUUUUUAUCGCCGAAAUAAUCAAAUAUUUACAGCAAUAAUAAAGAUGAACUUGUCUUUCCCAUCACAAUAAACUUUGCAAAUCAAAGGCAAGUUUAAAGCAAGAUUUUUAGAUUGUUUUAAUAGUUGUCUUUAUUAUAUUUUAAUUGUCUAGAAGAUGUUCGAAAAACCUAUUUCCUCGCUUUCUAUUUCCCAUUGCUGCUGAAAGUGUAGCCUUAAUAUUUUUAUGGUUGGCAUUAAUCAAUUUAUGGCUGUAAUUAGUUUUUGUAGUCUAUUACGGACUAAAUUGAGUUCUUAAGAUCUCUAACAUUGUCGCAUUUAAGAAGCCAGGCAGAUGUUGAACAAGAAUAUGUACCCUUUUAAGACUUAGUAAGACAUUCCCAACAUUUAAAAGCUGUUUCUAUGUAAUUUCAUUUCCUAUCGCCAUCUUAGGUCUCUGUUGCCUAACGCGCUGUUUGUUAUAAGGCGCAGAUUUCUAACAAUUUAUUUAUUUAUUAGAAAGCUUAUUCAUUUGAUUUUAAUGUUUUUAAAAGAAAAACCAAAACUGAACUCAUAUUAAGACCAUUCAACUUAUUCUAAUAGCUUGGUCUUAUAUGAUCAGUUCUGAGAGAUUGAUGCAUGUAAUAGAAAUUGUAUAAAUUCCAUCCACCCUUUUAGGUAUGCUACGGAAUUUGUAUUAAAUGUAAGGGACCAUUUUAUCAAUAUUCAAAUUAAAUAUUCAAUAUUCAAACCAUUUUAUCAAUUAAAAUCAGAUAAAUUUGCAUGCCUAUGUGACUGCUUAAUCCUGCAGUUGAAAACUUUUUAUGCAGAUGUCGAGUUGGGUAUAACUGCAAAGUUUUUAAAAAAUCUUUAAAAAUUUCAAUUUCAAGCCGUAAAUGUCAGAUAAUUAGCUGUCAGAUUUUGGACAUGGUCUGCGAAUAUGUGGGAAUAUAGAAAGAAUAAGGAAGAGCCACAGUCAUGCGACUAGAAAAUAACUCAGUGUUGUAUAACAAAUGUCUUAGAACUGAAAUAAAAUAAAACAAUUAAUUGUAGGGCUUUCUAACUAAAUGCGUUAAUUAUAUAAAUAUAAAUGUGCUUCUUAAUAUCACUUGAUCUUAUUUUAGUUACUGCGUUUUUUUUUCGUACAUUACGCAAUACUGUCUUGCAGGUGUUAAAUGCAAUUGGACAGCUAGUCAUAAACUAACGCCCACACACAAUUUGCAACUUACAAAACACCUCGAGUUAUCUUUAUUAUCUCAAAUUACGUACGCAUAUAUCAUCAGGUCUUUGGUUCGAGUUGUGUGUCUAUGUGGAUUGUCCAAUUGCUUUUGCUGCUGUCGCUAAUAACUAUUUGCACAGCCAAUUUGGACUGAAAGCAAAAGUCAACUUCAAAUAAUUGAACGCACCCGCAAUUGAAACUCUCAAACUGUGAGAUUUGCGCCUUGGGAGGCUUGAGGCUCUGAGAAAAAGGUGCAGCGCCGACUCGUUGGCGUCUAUUUGUUGUGCAGCUUGCGGCUGCGGGGCAGGGUCUGAUGCUAGCUCAGCCUUGGCAUGCCUGGGCAUACAUAAAAUCAAAUUUACGCACAAAUAUAGUCAUAUAAAUGGUUAUAGCUUCCGAUAGACAA